CUUUGCCGGAAGGCACGGGUAAUCUUUUGAACGUGCAUCGUGAUAGGGAUAGAUUAUUGCAAUUAUUAAUCUUGAACGAGGAAUUCCUAGUAAUCGCGGUUCAUCAAACCGCAAUGAUUACGUCCCUGCCCUUUGUACACACCGCCCGUCGCUACUACCGAUUGAAUGGCUUAGUGAGAUCUCCGGAUUGGCUU
rnacentral:rRNA from 10 species